AUUCAGAUUUAGGUUAGUUUAAUUAAAGUAUUCAUAUCAUGCAUACAUAAUAUAUGUGCUUACAAAAUAACUCUUCUGUGUUACAGCUGAUCAUAAUUAAUAACAUAAUACCAUAUACAGUACACAUAUUGUAGAUGGUCUAAACUAAUAACGUACUUUAAAGCCUUGUUGUCCAGUUUUAAUUUGAAAGUCCUGUAACCUGACAUCUGAUCCACGUACAUCAUCAAAAUCAAACCUGAAACUACAUUUGAAAAAUAUACUCUUAAAUAAAAGAAGGCCACCAAGUUAGUUCUAGCUGAGAAAACAAUAGAAACAGAAACAUACAAAACAAAAAGAAUUAAAAACUCCAAAAAGACAAAAGGCAAUACUAUAAAUUAACGAGCUUUUGGCUUUAAGAUUUCUAAAGUGGCUGAAGAAAGUUUACAAGGACUGUUUGCGUACUUUAUAAGUACAUGAAACUCUGUAUUAUGAAAGUCAACAGAGAAACUACCUAAAAUAAAAUUACACAUUAAGAGCCAAAGACUACAACCUUGUCAAAUUAUCAAGGUGUUGUAAAUAUAAUAUCGAGUCAAUGAAUGUAUGCAUGACAAAAGAGUGUAUAGAACUGUGUACGUAAAGUGGAGGAAGAGAUUGUCUUUACUGAACUGAUCAAACAGAGAACAAGUUGUAACUUAACGAAAUCAUAAUCUAAUUUUCGCGAAAACCACGUGAUAUAAGAAUAACUAUUUAUAUGACGUGACAACUGUGGAAUAACGUUUUCUUUUCGCACCAAGAUUGUUUCAUGUAUAAUUCCAAGAUUUUUUAUUAAACCUUUUUCUGUAAAAGUGUAUCAACGAAAUGCUGUGUGGUUCAUUUGUUGGUCAGCAAAUCAUCGCUCGAUCGAGACUUAUUCGCACAACAAUUGCUACCCUCGAGGGGUGGACAAUUGAUAUGCUGGAUGUUUCUCAAAUGACAAUAAAUAUUAUCUAAAUAAAAGG